GUAGGGUCCGAGCGUUGUCCGGAAUUAUUGGGCGUAAAGGGCUCGUAGGCGGUUCGUCACGUCGGGAGUGAAAACUCGGGGCUUAACCCCGAGCCUGCUUCCGAUACGGGCAGACUAGAGGUAGGCAGGGGAGAGCGGAACUCCUGGUGUAGCGGUGGAAUGCGCAGAUAUCAGGAAGAACACCGGUGGCGAAGGCGGCUCUCUGGGCCUUACCUGACGCUGAGGAGCGAAAGCGUGGGUAGCGAACAGGAUUAGAUACCCUGGUAGUCCACGCCGUAAACGUUGGGCGCUAGGUGUGGGGGACAUUCCACGUCCUCCGUGCCGCAGCUAACGCAUUAAGCGCCCCGCCUGGGGAGUACGGCCGCAAGGCUAAA
rnacentral:rRNA from 1 species